GGAGGAGGCGCGCAGAGCGGCUCUGACAGGAGCAGGUCGGGAAGGCAAGCCUGGCGGGAAGCUGAGCGCCGAGAGCCGGGGUGCGGGCGCCCGAGCAGCGGUUCUCCGCACUCACUCUCCUCCGCUCGUCGGCCGGAGCGUUGCCUCCGAGCCCGGCAGCUCGCGGCCGUCGCCAGCGCAGCCCCUAGGGCCCCUCGCCUCACCUGCACGUGCCGCACCUCGCGCGCCCCGUCCGGCCCCCGCAAUGAGCGAGCUUAAUACCAAAACAUCCCCAGCAACCAACCAGGCACCUGGCCCAGAGGAAAAGGGGAAAGCUGG